CAGACGUUUGGUCUACAAAACAACCUCAAGCCUACAAAGCUUAACAUUAUAAACACAAGAAACUGCAGAAUGAGAACAGGCUUUUGGUGUGGAAAGCACCCCAUCCUCAGAAAGGCACAAAGGAGAAAACCUGCAGGCAGGGAGCACAGCCUGCUAACGAGACAGGUGAACGGUACUGAUCCACAAGGGAUCCCCACCAUGAUCCACUGCGGCAUGACACUGCUCUGGAACCUUCGGAAGUGAAACCAUGCUCUCUUUAUAAGCUGACUAUCUCUGGCAUUUUGUUACAGUAAUGGGAAGCGGGCUAAUACACAUACUGUUUAACUUAAAAUAUUCUCUGUACCCUGAACCACCUAGGGCCAAGUUCUAGGCGCCCACUCCUGAGUCAUCUCCCCUGUCUGCCUUGACAUUUUCUUGGUAGGGGUGGCAGGAAGAUAGGAGUUCGCUAUGUAGUCCAGUGACCUUGAACUCAUUGUGUAAACCAGCUGUUUUAAAACUCAGAUUCUUGUGCCUCCUUCUCCUGAGGGUUAGGGUGAUGGGUCUGUGAUGCCACACUGGAAUCUGGCUUUGCCUUUCUUACAAAAAUCCCACUAAAUACUUCUUGGACCCAUGUUCCUGCUUCUCCUCUGUGGCCCAGAGUAGCAUGCAUGCCUCUCUUCUCUGAAACAAGUAGCCUAUGUCUUUCAGCGAAAUGGCAUUAGCUUCUCCAUACGUCUUAGUUACCUUCAUAUAUUAAAACUCCUGAAGGUACAACUGAGAGAGACUGUGCUUAGGGCGUUUGUGGUCACUGUUUUCUCUGCCAGAAAUGCAAUUCACGCUCACACUCAUGAGUCGCUUCCCACCCACGUGGUUUCGUCCUCCACUGUAUUUAGGUCUCGGCUCGAACAUCAUUCACCCCAGUAGCCUUCGUGACCGCCCCAUCUAACUGACUCAGCCACCCUUUCAUGUCUCACAGCCUCGGCCUCUUUGGCCCACUUUGUUUCCCUUUGUAGUUCCCAUCACAACUUAACUAUUUAUUUUUCUAUUUUGGAUGAUCCUGCAUUCCUUACCACAUAACCUAAACUUCAUUAAAACCAAGUAUAUAUUCAUAGUUGUUGUUCCGCUAAUUGCAAGAAUCCAAUCACUGAGAACAAUGCCUGGCAAAUAGGGAGUAUUAAAAAUAUGUUUUUAAUGAACAAACUUCAUUUUUUUAGAGUACCUGGCUCAUUAAUAAACAUAUGAACCAUC